CGCUGCAGGAAAAUUGAUAUGGUGUUCGCGAAAUUCGUGCAAGAACAUUUUUGAUCGGAACGAACCUAUGUAACGAUAUGGGAUGCGCCUUCCGCCGAGUUAAAGGCGCGUUUCCACUGUGCCGGCUUUUACCGAUCGGCACUGUCGGGUGGCUUUGUCGUUCGAAUGAAUCAAUCCUGGUAAAAUCGGCGUUCCGAUUGCGUCGGCACACGACGAUCGAGAAAGGAAGUGGGCAAAUACAAACAAGUCUGAAGUAUUCGAUGUUCAUAUUCAGUAUCACUUGGGAAGAAUACAAUUCCACUUGAGAAGCCGGACGCUAUGCCGAUUCGUUUUUUAUCUAAUGACAACAAAUAUCAAAGGGAAUCGUGCCAGGAGAAGAGAGGAACGUUUAGUCGAGUCCUCCGCAGUGUACACGCGAAAAUAAAUUACGCGAGGAGUGGGGUCAAACGACGCAAAGAGUGGGGGCAGGCGACCCAUGCGCGGGAGUCCCGCACAGCGACAUGGCGCGUCUACCGCGUGAACGUUAUAAUUCUGAACUACAAAUUGUUCUGAAGAUUUCAUGAAAUAAAAUCUUUUCGUUCAA